CUUGGUCAUUUAGAGGAAGUAAAAGUCGUAACAAGGUUUCCGUAGGUGAACCUGCGGAAGGAUCAUUACAGAGAAUAAUCGCCCUCACGGGUGACUCUCCAACCCUAUGUUAUUAUACCUUUGUUGCUUUGGCGAGCCGCUUCGGCCACCGGCUCACGCUGGUGAGUGCUCGCCAGAGGACCCCAAACUCUGAAUUAAGUAUUGUCUGAGUACUAUAUAAUAGUUAAAACUUUCAACAACGGAUCUCUUGGUUCUGGCAUCGAUGAAGAACGCAGCGAAAUGCGAUAAGUAAUGUGAAUUGCAGAAUUCAGUGAAUCAUCGAAUCUUUGAACGCACAUUGCGCCCUGUGGUAUUCCGCAGGGCAUGCCUGUUCGAGCGUCAGUACAACACUCAAGCUCAGCUUGGUCUUGAGCCCACCGGUCACCCGGCGGGCUUUAAAAUCAGUGGCGGCGCCAUCUGGCUCUAAGCGUAGUAAUUAAACCCCUCGCUAUUGAGUUCAGGUGGAUGCUAGCCAGCAACCCCCAACUUUCUAAGUUUGACCUCGGAUCAGGUAGGGAUACCCGCUGAACUUAAGCAUAUCAAUAAGCGGAGGA
rnacentral:rRNA from 1 species